UGCUUGGGAGCGUUGAUUCGAAUGUGUGGCGAUUGUUUCGGCAAUUUUUCCUUUUCUUGGGUCCUGCUGCUCUUGCAGAGUCCUGGCUUCCUCCGCUUACUAAACUUUAAUGGCUAAUUCAUGAUAAUCUUUUCGCUUGGGUCUGUCGUCAUUUUGAGCAUGACAUCCACGCCAUGCUUAUUGCCGUUGGAUCUGCUUUGUUUGUUGGUUGUGCUUGGGGGCGUUGAUUCGAAUGUGUGGCAAUUGUUUCGGCAAUUUUUCCUUUUCUUGGGUCCUGCUGCUCUUGCAAGGUCCUGGCUUCCUCCCAUUUUGUCGAUGUGUCCGUCAUCGGGGCUCUCUGUGCUAGAGCUGUGGAUGUCGCUUUUUUCUCUAUAUCAUUUCUGUGCUCGGCCGGCCUUCUUGUUGGUGUUCUUGAC
rnacentral:lncRNA from 1 species